rnacentral:tRNA from 1 species
GCCGUCGUGGUGUAAUGGUAGCACACUCGAAGCGUAUUCAAGAGGUCCAGGUUCGAGUCCCGGCGAGAGUA